rnacentral:rRNA from 1 species
UACGGGGGGGGCAAGCGUUGUUCGGAAUUACUGGGCGUAAAGGGCUCGUAGGCGGCCAACUAAGUCAGACGUGAAAUCCCUCGGCUUAACCGGGGAACUGCGUCUGAUACUGGAUGGCUUGAGGUUGGGAGAGGGAUGCGGAAUUCCAGGUGUAGCGGUGAAAUGCGUAGAUAUCAGAAGGAACAUCAGUGGCGAAGGCGGCUUCCUGGACUAAUACUGACGAUCAGGUGCGAAAGCGUGGGGAGCAAACAGG